rnacentral:lncRNA from 1 species
AGAAAAAUCAAGAGAUCAAAAUCAAAAGAGCUAAAGAAAGCCCGCUAAGUCGAAACUUGAAAAUAAUUAGGCAAAAAUUAGGGAUUCUUGGUGGACUGUAAAUCCAAAUAUUAGUCCAGGCAAAAAGAAGGGAAAACAAAAACAAAGAAAAAUAGAAGGAUCAAAAUAAAAUCCUCAGUAAGAACAAAAUUGUGUGGCUAUGAACAAA